rnacentral:rRNA from 1 species
CAGUCGCCGCGGGAAUACGAAGGGUGCAAGCGUUACUCGGAAUUACUGGGCGUAAAGCGUGCGUAGGUGGUGGUUUAAGUCCGUUGUGAAAGCCCUGGGCUCAACCUGGGAAUUGCAGUGGAUACUGGGUCACUAGAGUGUGGUAGAGGAUAGUGGAAUUUCCGGUGUAGCAGUGAAAUGCGUAGAGAUCGGAAGGAACAUCUGUGGCGAAGGCGACUAUCUGGGCCAACACUGACACUGAGGCACGAAAGCGUGGGGAGCAAACAGGAUUAGAUACCCGUGUAGUCCCUGUCUCUUAUAU